UCCUACUAACUUCACCAAGUCAGAUCCAAGAGGACUAGAUACAAGUCAGUAAAAUUGAUAAGUCGUAAAUCCUCCCACUGACUUCACAAAGUCAUGAAGAGGACUACAAACAAGUCAUACUAGGAGUACCUAAAUCAGUCAUACUGAUUUAAUAGUUAUCAUGGGUCAAUCCCUAAUCAUUAAGUGAUCUGAUAAAAACAUAAUUCACUAUGAUGGCUAGGUAAA
rnacentral:lncRNA from 1 species